AGUGGCAGACGGGUGAGUAACAUGUAGGUAUCUAUCCUUUGGCCUGGAAUAACACGAGGAAACUUGUGCUAAUACCAGAUAAGUCUUUACGGAGAAAGCUUUAUGCACCAUUGGAUGAGCCUGCACUUGAUUAGUUUGUUGGUAGGGUGAUGGCCUACCAAGACUAUGAUCAAUAGCUGAUUUGAGAGGAUGAUCAGCCACAUUGGGACUGAGACACGGCCCAAACUCCUACGGGAGGCAGCAGUGGGGAAUCUUGCACAAUGGAGGAAACUCUGAUGCAGCGAUGCCGCGUGAGCGAAGAAGGCCUUUGGGUUGUAAAGCUCUUUCGUCGGGGAGGAAAAUGACUGUACCCGAAUAGAAGGUCCGGCUAACUUCGUGCCAGCAGCCGCGGUAAUACGAAGGGACCUAGCGUAGUUCGGAAUUACUGGGCUUAAAGAGUUCGUAGGUGGUUGAAAAAGUUGGUGGUGAAAUCCCAGAGCUUAACUCUGGAACUGCCAUCAAAACUUUUCAGCUAGAGUUUGAUAGAGGAAAGCAGAAUUUCUAGUGUAGAGGUGAAAUUCGUAGAUAUUAGAAAGAAUACCAAAUGCGAAGGCAGCUUUCUGGAUCAUUACUGACACUGAGGAACGAAGGCAUGGGUAGCGAAGAGAAUUAGAUACCCUCGUAGUCCAUGCCGUAAACGAUGUGUGUUAGACGUUGGAAAUUUAUUUUCAGUGUCGCAGCGAAAGCAAUAAACACACCGCCUGGGGAGUAC
rnacentral:rRNA from 1 species